rnacentral:rRNA from 1 species
CGUGUAGGCGGUUGGGUAUGUCCGAUGUGAAAUCCCUCGGCUAAACUGAGGAACUGCACCGGAAACUACCUGACUAGAGUGCGAGAGAGGGUGGCGGAAUUCCUAGUGUAGAGGUGAAAUUCGUAGAUACUAGGAGGAACACCGGAGGCGAAGGCGGCCACCUGGCUCGCUACUGACGCUGAGACGCGAAAGCGUGGGGAGCAAACA